UGUCCCAAUUCUGGAGGCAGGCAUCUGUGAUCAGCAUGGCUGGGCUGAAAUCACGGUGUGAGCAGGGCUGCCUUCUCUCCGAGAGGAGGACCUGUUUCUUGCCUCUUGAGCUGCUGAUGGUGGCCAACAUUUCUUGGCUUUCACCACAUCUCUCCAAUCUCUGCUUGGUAUGUGUCAAAUGUCUCUUGUCCUCUCUCUUUAUAAGGACACUUGUGAUUCUAUUUAGGACCUACUUGCGUAAACCCCAAGGUUAACCCAGGAUAACCUCUUUAGCUCAAGAAUCUUUAACAUCUGCAAGGUCAUGUUUGACAUUCAAGGUAACAUUCCCAGGUUCUGGGAGCUAGAAGGACUUUAUCCGGUUGACCACACAGCCUGAUCAGAAAUGCUAGGAAAUGGUGUUCCUGAAGGGAAUCCAGCUAGUAUCCAUGAGGAGGCAGGUUCAAUCUCUGGCCUCGCUCAUGGGUUAAAGAUCUAGCUUGGCCACGAGCUAUGGUGUAGGUCGCAGACAUGGCUCAGACCCUGCAUUGCUGUGACUGUGGUGUAGGCCGGCAGCUGCAGCUCUGAUUUUACCCCUGGUCUGGGAACUUCCAUCUGCUGCAAGUGUGGCCCUAAACAAUUUGGAAAGGGCAACAUAUUUCUCUAGCAGCAAUGCCAUUGCCCUGAGAAUUCCUGGGCCUGUUGGACACAGAGAGUGCCCAGAGAACCCAGUGGGAGAGGAAGGUCUUAGAACGCACAGUCAAGGAAGGCCCACACCCUGAUGCGUUCUAACUGGCCCUUUCAUUAAUUGGGUCAUCCUGAGAAUCUUCCAGUAGCUAGUUCAUCUUCAAGAUCGUGGGUCCGAAUGCCGCAGGGCUGAGCCAACUGACCCCUCAGAUUCACAUCCUAUCCGACCUGCCCCGCCCCCAGCUACCCAAGUGCUUUUCAUUCUGCAGACCAAAUUCCCUUUGCUUCUGGGCUGAAGCGCACUGGGCACAUUCUUGAACGGAGUUCAAUCUAAGGAUUUCCCUAAAACAAGCAACUCCCUGGAUGCCCUGGGAAGCACUGUGACUACUGAGGGGAUUAACAUAGCCAGAGCAAUGUGGCUCGAGUCCAGAAAGAAAAUGUAUGUGCUUAAAAAAAAAAAAAAAAAAGCUGGCUCAGAGUCUUGGGAACCCCAUAAUCAGAAGCAUACUCAUUCUGACUGUUUCAAAAGACCCAACACCCACCUCAAUGUGACCUGGCCAAGGUUCAGAGAAAUCCACCCCCUCUUUUGUCUUCUGGAUGGAAUGCAAGAGCCUUAUAAGACUUCCUGCCUACAAGGCAGAGAGAGAGGAGGCCUUUGCCACCCCAUCUCAGCAAGGUGGGGGACGGUGGGAGGUGGCUGGUUUGGGGGUGCUGUGACCUCAUCUUCAGGCAAGAGGCAUUCCACGUUGAUUCUGCAUGGCGCCCAAGCCACAGCAGAUCUGCCAUCUAAUCUUCAUCUGAGGUCCUUAUUGGUUUAUAUCUUGUUUUGUUUUUCUCCUGAGGGAGAAGUUUGGGGUGUGGGCGGCUCCUGCUGGGACUGGACAUGACGAAAUCAAUGAGGAAUCAAGAUGAGGGGUCUACAGGCCAAGAAUGAUGAGCUUGAGGCCCUCAGAGAUCAAGAUGCCUGAGGCCCAGCCCCUGGCUGAGUCCUGGCAGGACAGGUCUUGAAGGCCAAGGCCAGCAGGGCCAAGAACCCAGAUGGUCAGGUACCUCGAAACAGUAGCACUGGCUGGAAGAAAAGUCAUCAUGGGUCUAAAGUAGAUGCUGAGUCAUCUCUAGCUUCCUGAUUACUUCUAGUAGGCUGGGCACAAGUCUGGGCCGCAGGGGAGUCUAUCUUUAACCAAGCUAGAGACCAAGGUUUGAAGUCUGGGAAAAGGGAGAGUCUUUCAGCUACUGACAGACACCUCUCUGUGGUCUCUCACUUGUCCUCUGUCUGCAGAGAGAGGGCUUUGUCUGGGUGUGGGUUUGCAGGCCACUUUGGCAAAGAAAAACAAGGAAGCUGUCUGCCUCUCGUCUGUUGUGAUCCAUAUUUUCUGCAACUGGAAAUGCCAGUGGAAGAUUUUCAAAUAUUGGAUCCACACCGAGCCAACUUUGUGGGGGGCAGGGGCGGGGGCCUCUGGGAAAUGAAGGAUUCAGACAUUUCCUUAGAAAUCUUGAUUUUCUAGAAUUGGCUGCAUCUAAGGACUAGUUUUGCAGGUCUGGUCACGGCAGCCAGCCUGCCCCUGCACACCCUGGUCCUGGUCUGUGCCCAGGGAUGGGGUUUCAGCCGCGUUUCUUGUGAGUCUUAUUCCUGGCGUUCAGCUCUAAUGAUGAUCAAGGGUGGAUGUGUGAACAUAUACGUUUUGCAGGUCUGGUCACAGGAGCCAAGCUGCCUCUGCGCACCCUGGUCUUGGUCUGUGCCCAGGGAUGGGGUUUCAGCCGCACUUCUUGUGAGUCUUAUUCUUAGCAUUCAGCUCUAAUGAUGAUCAAGGGUGGAUGUGUUACCAUAUUUGAAGCCAGAUUUCUAAACUAGGGCUUUGCAGACAGUGCCCAGUGAAUACACCAGGGGGUGGUUCCCACUCCAAACCCAAUCGUCCAUGCAUCCAUGCAACUGUUCAUUCAACAAGCAAACACUCAUUACAGGUCCUCAAUGGGUCAGAACCUACCAGGUGCUGAGGAGAGACAGCUGAUUGAGAAGAAAGAGGCAGAGGUGUGAUCGGAAGGGACUUGAAGAGUGGCAGGGACAGUGUCUGGCUUAGGGAAGGAAGAAGGGGAAUAUAAGCUCUUUUGAACAUGCAAGGCAAGGCUACCCUUGAAAGUUCAGGAAAUUCGACCAGAUAGUUGAUUAGAGAACCCAGGGUGGUGAAAUGAGGGACUGGACUAUCCAAUCCUUCCAGGUUCUAAACUUUGAAAGGGAGAAUAUGGUUUCCUCACUGGGGGUGCCUGUCACUGACCUUCCUAUCUGAAUGACCUUAGGGAUGGCAUUGCAGUGACAAUGAACUUGAAGACCCUUGCCUUAUGUUUACGAGCACCUCUACCCAAGUGACUUCAAAGGUUGUAGUCUUCGAUGAAUUUAUCUGGCUGGCUUGAUUGGAGCAGGUCAUUCUAAGCCAGGACCAUGGACUCAGUCCAGUGGGGCCAGUUGACUUCCUUUUGUUUUAAUGGUAAGGGCGAGUCCUAGAAUGAGCAUGCACUUGACCACAAACCUGGUAGUUCCUUGAGGUCAGUAGCAUUUUUGUCCAUCACAUUUUUCCAGGGCCUAGCAAGUUUCAUGUAGAUGACUGUAUGAAAGAUGUGAAAUUUGGGUAAGACAGUGUGGAAACCUAUUGCUAUGAGGAGAAACCCAUGGCUUGAGUUUCUAGUACAUGGCUGUUCUUGUUGGGUUAGUGGGAGACUUGAAUCAACUCUGCACACCCCCACCUGCAAAGGCUGGGUAUAUGGUUAUCAUUCAAUUUUCCUCUUCUGCAACUCUUUGUGUGUGGCUGUCUACAAGUAAUUUUUAAAAAGGAUGCUAGCCCAGGGAGCUUAGAAAUCCUGGAAGGGAGUCAGUUUUGGCAAAUUCUGAUCCCCAGGGUUGAAAGCAUCUGUAUCAGGCAGGGUCUCUCAAGAAAAAAAAAAACAACAAAAUCCAGGUGGAGUAAUUUAAUAGAAGAAACU
rnacentral:lncRNA from 1 species